AUUGAACGCUGGCGGCAGGCCUAACACAUGCAAGUCGAACGGUAGCACAGAGAGCUUGCUCUCGGGUGACGAGUGGCGGACGGGUGAGUAAUGUCUGGGAAACUGCCCGAUGGAGGGGGAUAACUACUGGAAACGGUAGCUAAUACCGCAUAACGUCGCAAGACCAAAGUGGGGGACCUUCGGGCCUCACACCAUCGGAUGUGCCCGGAUGGGAUUAGCUAGUAGGUGGGGUAAUGGCUCACCUAGGCGACGAUCCCUAGCUGGUCUGAGAGGAUGACCAGCCACACUGGAACUGAGACACGGUCCAGACUCCUACGGGAGGCAGCAGUGGGGAAUAUUGCACAAUGGGCGCAAGCCUGAUGCAGCCAUGCCGCGUGUAUGAAGAAGGCCUUCGGGUUGUAAAGUACUUUCAGCGGGGAGGAGGGCGGUGAAGUUAAUAACUUCACCGAUUGACGUUACCCGCAGAAGAAGCACCGGCUAACUCCGUGCCAGCAGCCGCCGUAA
rnacentral:rRNA from 1 species